rnacentral:rRNA from 1 species
UACGUAGGGGGCUAGCGUUGUCCGGAAUCAUUGGGCGUAAAGAGCGUGUAGGCGGUCCGGUAAGUCCGCUGUGAAAGUCGGGGGCUCAACCCUCGAAUGCCGGUGGAUACUGUCGGGCUAGAGUGCGGAAGAGGCGAGUGGAAUUCCUGGUGUAGCGGUGAAAUGCGCAGAUAUCAGGAAGAACACCUAUUGCGAAGGCAGCUCGCUGGGACGUAACUGACGCUGGAGACGCGAAAGCGUGGGGAGCAAACAGG